rnacentral:rRNA from 1 species
GUGUCAGCCGCCGCGGUAAGACGUAGGGAGCGAGCGUUGUCCGGAUUCAUUGGGCGUAAAGAGCGCGCAGGCGGUUCGGAAAGUCGGAUGUGAAAACUCGGAGCUCAACUCCGAGCGUGCAUCCGAAACUUCCGGACUAGAGGUAGGUAGGGGAGAUCGGAAUUCCUGGUGUAGCGGUGAAAUGCGCAGAUAUCAGGAGGAACACCGGUGGCGAAGGCGGAUCUCUGGGCCUUACCUGACGCUCAGGCGCGAAAGCUAGGGGAGCGAACAGGAUUAGAUACCCUAGUAGUCC